rnacentral:tRNA from 1 species
GAGAGGGCCCAAAUACAAGAACUGCUAAUUCUAGUACCUGAGACUAANCCCUCAGACCUCUCA